rnacentral:rRNA from 1 species
GUGUCAGCAGCCGCGGUAAUACGUAGGUGGCAAGCGUUGUCCGGAUUUAUUGGGUUUAAAGGGUGCGUAGGCGGUCUAUUAAGUCAGUGCUGAAAUAUCCCGGCUUAACCGGGAGGGUGGCAUUGAUACUGAUGGACUUGAGUGCAGUCGAGGUAGGCGGAAUUGACGGUGUAGCGGUGAAAUGCUUAGAUAUCGUCAAGAACACCGAUAGUGAAGACAGCUUACUAGACUGUAACUGACGCUGAGGCACGAAAGUGUGGGGAUCAAACAGGAUUAGAUACCCCCGUAGUCC